GGAUAAACGCUGGCGGCGCACAUAAGACAUGCAAGUUGAACGGACUUAAUCGAAAUAUUUAUAUUUUGAAGCGGUUAGUGGCGGACUGGUGAGUAACGCGUAAGGAACCUGCCUAUUAGAGGGGAAUAACAGUGAGAAAUCAUUGCUAAUACCGCAUAUGCCAUAGAUAUCACCUGAUAACAGUGGGAAAGGAGCAAUCCGCUAAUAGAUGGCCUUGCGUCUGAUUAGAUAGUUGGUGGGGUAACGGCCUACCAAGUCGACGAUCAGUAGCCGUACUGAGAGGUUGAACGGCCACAUUGGGACUGAGAUACGGCCCAGACUCCUACGGGAGGCAGCAGUCGGGAAUAUUGCGCAAUGGAGGAAACUCUGACGCAGUGACGCCGCGUAUAGGAAGAAGGUUUUCGGAUUGUAAACUAUUGUCGUUAGGGAAGAGAAAGGACAGUACCUAAGGAGGAAGCUCCGGCUAACUACGUG
rnacentral:rRNA from 1 species